ACUUAUCUGAUCAAUAUAGUUGAUCUAUGUUCAAUUAGGCUGCUCAUUGACUCGAGCUAACCCAUGUCACAUAGGUGAAUCAGUAUGACUGAUUUAGAUACUCCUGGACCGGCUUGUAUCUAGUCUUCUUUGAUCUGACCUGGUGAAGUUAGUGAGAGGAUUAUGAUUAGCUGGUCAAUCUUUUUAAUUUUCUUAAAAUAAUUUAACUAAAUUUUUUAAAUUAUUAGGUUCAUGAAAUGAAAUAGUUAUAGAGACAACUAAAGCAUAGCCUCCCAUUAAGUUAGAUGGUAAUGGGUCCAAUAGUUUGGAUGAUCAUUAGAUGGCACCACAUGCUUGGUG
rnacentral:lncRNA from 1 species